rnacentral:sRNA from 1 species
AAAAUCACUACAUUAGUUUUGAGUCUCAUUAUAGAAGAAGAUCUUGAAAGCAAUUUUAUCUUAUAUAUCCUACUUUUUCCACUAUACUUUAAAACGGAAUCACAACUUUGCGAAACAUAUCGCUUUCGCUGGUUUCAGUUGCCAGCGAUAGGCAAACGAACAUAAUCAUAAACUUAAGAUUCUAACAAAGUAAAGUUUUCAUAAGCGCCAUUGCAGCGGGCUUACGAAAACUUUUAAGAAAACUUCUGGAAGCGGAAAGCGGACCUCCGACGAAAUUUCCAAGGCUACGACGGGCCGCGCGCGGGUUAUUUGGGCUUUCUCAGUUCAAACCUUUG